rnacentral:misc_RNA from 1 species
GAUGAAGAACGUAGCGAAAUGCGAUAAGUAAUGUGAAUUGCAGAAUUCAGUGAAUCAUCGAAUCUUUGAACGCACAUUGCGCCCGCCAGUAUUCUGGCGGGCAUGCCUGUUCGAGCGUCAUUACAACCCUCAGGCCCCCGGGCCUGGCGUUGGGGAUCGGCGGAGCCCCCCGUGGGCACACGCCGUCCCCCAAAUGCAGUGGCGGUCCCGCCGCAGCUUCCAUCGCGUAGUAGCUAACACCUCGCGACUGGAGAGCGGCGCGGCCACGCCGUAAAACACCCAACUCUUCUGAAGUUGACCUCGAAUCAGGUAGGAAUACCCGCUGAACUUAAGCAUAUCAAUAAGCGGAA